rnacentral:rRNA from 1 species
GACGAACGCUGGCGGCGUGCUUAACACAUGCAAGUCGAACGGAAAGGCCCGGCUUUUGUGGGGUGCUCGAGUGGCGAACGGGUGAGUAACACGUGAGUAACCUGCCCUUGUCUGUGGGAUAACUUCAGGAAACUGGGGCUAAUACCGGAGAGGAUCUCCUGCUGCAUGGGGGGGGUUGGAAAGUUUCGGCGGUUGGGGAUGGACUCGCGGCUUAUCAGCUUGUUGGUGGGGUAGUGGCUUACCAAGGCUUUGACGGGUAGCCGGCCUGAGAGGGUGACCGGCGACAUGGGGACUGAGAUACGGCCCAGACUCCUACGGGAGGCAGAAGUGGGGAAUCUUGCACAAUGGGCCGGAGCCUGAUGCAGCAACGCCGGGUGCGGGAUGACGGCUUUCGGGUUGUAAACCGCUUUCGACUGUGACGAAGCGUGAGUGACGGUACUGGGUCAGGAAGCACCGGCUAACUACGUG